rnacentral:rRNA from 1 species
GUUUGAUCCUGGCUCAGAAUCAACGCUGGCGGCGUGCCUAACACAUGCAAGUCGAACGAGAAAGUGGAGCAAUCCAUGAGUAAAGUGGCGCACGGGUGAGUAACACGUGACUAACCUACCCUUGAGUGGGGAAUAACUUCGGGAAACCGAGGCUAAUACCGCAUAACACCUACGGGUCAAAGGAGCAAUUCGCUUAAGGAGGGGGUCGCGGCAGAUUAGUUAGUUGGCGGGGUAAUGGCCCACCAAGACGGUGAUCUGUAUCCGGCCUGAGAGGGCGCACGGACACACUGGAACUGAAACACGGUCCAGACUCCUACGGGAGGCAGCAGUGGGGAAUUUUGCGCAAUGGGGGAAACCCUGACGCAGCAACGCCGCGUGGAGGAUGAAGUCCCUUGGGACGUAAA